rnacentral:sRNA from 1 species
GUGCAGCCAGGGGCUUCCGGCCGCGGCCCUGGCGCGUGGUCUGCGCGCGCCCGGCCGUGCGUGCGGAUGCGGGGAGGCUGCGUGUGUGCGCAGGGAGAGAACGCCGGCCACCUUCCCGCUUCCGAGCCGGGUGCGCGCCGAGCACAGGAGGGUGCAAUACCUGCCUUGCGUCGCCCGUGCCGCUCCAGCCACCGUCAAAUCCGGGUAGCGACCCGGGGCGUUUGCAGCGGUGCCGAGGAAGAGGACGGGAACGGUGUUACGAUUGCCUGCCUUUAGGAGGUGGCUGCGUUGUGGGAAAAGCUAUCAAGGAAGAAAUUGCCAAACCAUGUCUUUUUUUCUGUUUUCAGAGUAGUUCACAACAGAUCUGAGUGUUUUAAUUAAGCAUGGAAUACAGAAAACAACAAAAAACUUAAGCUUUAAUUUCAUCUGGAAUUCCACAGUUUUCUUAGCUCCCUGGACCCUGUUGACCUGUUGGCUCUUCCUGCUGGCUGCUCUAUCACGUGGUGCUCUCCGACUACUCACCCCGAGUGUAAAGAACCUUCGGCUCGCGUGCU